rnacentral:misc_RNA from 1 species
GACACCCUAUUACUAUGAAGAUGCUUCAGAUCAUGGAAAUGAAGCUUGAGAAUAACAAUAAAUCAAAUUUUCCUUUCCAACUUGGGAUUUUGAAGGAGCUAACACACGAUAAGCUCCAGUUUUCUUGUUCUAGGGCCAACUUCCCAGUUUGCUUUUCAAAAAGAGGGAAGGUAAAAGGAGUUGAAAAAACAGAGGAAAGAGAGAAUGAAAAUGAAAUGCAAGCAAUUUGUUAAGUUAUUAAUGAGAUGUUAAAUUCUUGUCACUGUAAAGUAACUAACUAUUCCUGAAUUUGUCCUUUAAAUGGGGUCCUACCCCGCAUUAAAAUUUAUUUGUUGAGAGUGAUGUGCUACAGUGUUUAGUGUUCUCAUCCCUCCAACUAAAAAAACAAUUGGACAUUCCUAAUGGCUUGUUUGAAUGAGAUGUAAGGAGAAGAGUGAGGAUAGUUAUAGUAAAAAAAUUUUAUAAGUUAAUUAAUAAAAAGGUAAGGA